UGCGUAGGUGGUUUCUUAAGUCAGGAGUGAAAGGCUACGGCUCAACCGUAGUAAGCUCUCGAAACUGGGAAACUUGAGUGCAGGAGAGGAAAGUGGAAUUCCUAGUGUAGCGGUGAAAUGCGUAGAUAUUAGGAGGAACACCAGUAGCGAAGGCGGCUUUCUGGACUGUAACUGACACUGAGGCACGAAAGCGUGGGGAGGCAAAACA
rnacentral:rRNA from 1 species